GAAAUGCGAUAAGUAAUGUGAAUUGCAGAAUUCAGUGAAUCAUCGAAUCUUUGAACGCACAUUGCGCCCGCCAGUAUUCUGGCGGGCAUGCCUGUUCGAGCGUCAUUACAACCCUCAGGCCCCCGGGCCUGGCGUUGGGGAUCGGCGGAAGCCCCCUGCGGGCACAACGCCGUCCCCCAAAUACAGUGGCGGUCCCGCCGCAGCUUCCAUUGCGUAGUAGCUAACACCUCGCAACUGGAGAGCGGCGGGGCCACGCCGUAAAACACCCAACUUCUGAAUGUUGACCUCGAAUCAGGUAGGAAUACCCGCUGAACUUAAGC
rnacentral:misc_RNA from 1 species